rnacentral:sRNA from 1 species
UUUAGUUGCUACGCACAGCGCCAAGAGC